GCGCACGACGUCUGCCUGCUCUCAUUCCCAAGGCGCUAAAGAGUGCGAACCUAGCUAGGGGAAAACUAUUUGGUGCGGAAAUUCGUGUCUCUUUCCGCCCACCGUUGGGGGCCGCACCGGCCGGGUCCCGAGCGAUGCCCUGGCGUGGAGUUUGGGGGCGCAACGGGGCCCGGCGGGGGCGGCGAGCGCGCGUUCCCCCGCCCGCUCGGGCGGCGUCGAGGCGCGAGCAGCUCAGCCAGCCUUGCAGAGGGAGAGGGAGCUCUUGGCAGUUCAGGGGUCCCUCUGCUCGCAGCCACAGCAGCGCCGCCUGCGCCACUCGGCGGUGACGGCGACCAGCGGCGGCGAUGAGCGGACUCGGAGACGCUACGGAGCACCCCAGCUGCUGGAGAAGCGCUCAGGGCGGCCGGCUUUGAAUACAUGAGAAAGAAGAGUGAGAAACAAGAAGAAAAGUAAGGUUGGAAGAGGGCCAGAGGAAAGAGGGAUGGAAGGAAGCUCCUGCAGCCACCAACACAAUAAAGUGUAUCCUGAACCGCCUCUGCCUGGCCCCUGUUUUGCAGCAUGCACCUGUCAGUUUCCUCUGCAGAGUUCUGAAGAUGAUGAGCAAGACGUGGCUGUGACCUAGGUGGUCUUAAAUGAUGAGACCCAUCAGCACGUUACAGGCCUUGAAAGCCCAUUUCCACUUGCCCCCUCUAGGCACACACUUUCCUUGCCCUGAUACCUGUGACUCUUGAUAAUAUCACCAAUCUCCCCCCAACCUGGGGCAGCAGGCACCCAACUGUCCUGAAUCUGAGCCGGAAGAACAAAUGUCCUCCCAGCCUGCAGGAGGCAGGGUAGGAAGUAAGAGCUCUGAGGCAGCUGUGCCCUAUGUAUGCCUCCCACCAUCUGACAGACCAAGACCUGCUGUUGGGCUAAGAGACCAGCCAGCCUGACCUCAGGUUGUGAAUUGAGAGGUCAAGUGGUUGUCCUGUGGUCGAUCCAUGCUGCUUCAAGCCCAGAAGACUGGAGGGGCAAAGGCCUGAGGGGCCUUCCCUGGCCUUGACAGUUUUCACUUAGCUGUGCUCCCAGAGGGGUCUUGUUCCUUCUGUUUUGGAGAACAGGGAUAUUCAGUGACGUCAGAGUUGACCUCUGACUGGAAUAAUGACAUGUUCCCAUCCUGUAUUUCUUGCCAGGCGGUGUCCUAUGGUUUGUGCUAUGAGGCGGUGGUCACUGUCUUCACUUCCCUAAGCCCUGCUCAGCCGAGGUUUGACCCCACUUUUCCCCACCACUCUGAACAGUCCUACCCUACCGGUGGGCUUCUUCUGUGGCUUCAGGCCUGCAGGAAUUCUGCUGGUUCUGGGACUUGUCUCCAAACUAUGACCAGCUAUAGGCAGUGGUAUGGUCUUUCACCUGAUUGUUUUAUCUACUCCAUUAUACCCCAGCUGACCAACCAAAAAGCUGAACUGCUCCAUCCUGCCCAGCUAUGCCAGUGUGUAAGGGCUGUCUGCCCGCCCUACCCCCUGCCCCCACCAGACUAUAGUGAACUGCCAGCAUCCACUCA